GACGUAGGGGGCCAGCGUUGUUCGGAAUUACUGGGUGUAAAGGGUUCGUAGGCGGUGCGGCAAGUCGGGAGUGAAAUCUCUGGGCUCAACCCAGAGGCUGCUUCCGAAACUGCUGUGCUUGAGUGUGGGAGAGGCGCGUGGAAUUGCAGGUGUAGCGGUGAAAUGCGUAGAUAUUCGCAAGAACACCAGUGGCGAAGGCGGCUCACUGGCCCGGUACUGACGCUGAGGUGCGAAAGCGUGGGGAGCAAACAGG
rnacentral:rRNA from 1 species